GGGGGAGGGUCACAUUCCUCAGCUUGUCCCUCCCUCCACCCUGUUACCAGGAGGGUAAAGAGUGGAGCAAAGUUACUUGAAUGAAAAUUGUUGGUCUAAGUGGUAUUUACAUACAACAUUUCUGAUACAUCUGAAAUGGAAGUAAACAAGCCUUGUCUGAAAAAUCCACCUUCGAGGAUAAAUUUAAACAUAGAAAGGGAAGAACUUUAUCCAUGGAGAAUGGCACCUCGGUCUGUGUAUAAGCUGGAAGAAUACUUACUGGGGCAAGAAUGAAGACACCUAUUGUUCUGCAUCCAAGUAGAAAAAGGAAACAACAACAACAACAACAAAACAGAAGUAUAACUGCCCUGCAGCUAUAGUGAAGAGUACAAAUGGAGAGAUCAGUUCAUUAUUAUGACAGUACUGUUUGCAGUACAUCUUUCUGAACCAUUUUAAGUAAAACACUUCUUUGAACUUAGAAUUUGAUAAGUAUAAUGUGGUUUUGAAACUGUAAAAUGGCUGCUAAAAUUAGUAGAUAAUUGUUGCUGUGUUAGAUGAUUUAUAGCUGCUAAUAGUUCAGCCGACUACUCACCACUGUAAUAGACACUACAAUUUAUAGUACUUUCAUAUGCCAAGACUUCUGACUGUUCCAUAAGUAAUCUGUCAUUCUGAGAAAAACAAUGGCCAUUACAUUGGUCACAGUGGAAUAGAUUAUUUUUCAGCCAUAUUUGUCAAGAAUCCUAUUCAGAUGAUAUUUCAAAAGCUAAAACAUGUCAUAAUGAUUGUUUGCUUCUAAUCAAGUGUACUGUUUCUGGAGUCAGUUUUAGUUUCUUAUCUUUAUAAAUGGAAUAGAACAUUUUUGAAAAAAAAAAACUAUGGAUUAAUAGAUGAACAAAUUUGUUUAAAAUUCAUUCAAAAUUUAUGUCUGAACUUUUAGAAAGUACAAGAUUAAAAGAAGAUGCUGUCAGUCAGUCUUAUAGUAAUUACUUUAAAAAUGCAGUGUUGAAAUUAUCUGAAAUACAGGUUAUACAUAAGAUUUGUUGAUUCAUUCAUAUUGUAGUUAAGUUCACUAUACUAUAAUCAAAACAGUAAACCAAGACAGAUCUGUAGUUUAUCCUCUCCUGCUAUUAUUCCUUUACACAUUUUUUGGGAAUGAAGUGGGCCCAGGUGAACCUCAUGAUGUUCAAAGCCUAGUGCAAGGUUUUGCACCUAGGUCAAGGCAACAUACACUACCAGUAUAAACAGGGGGAUGAAGGACUGAACACAGCCCUGCCAAAAAGGACUAGAUGGUACUGGUGGAUGGCAAAACUGGACAUGAGCUAUCAGUGUGCCCUCACAGCCCAUAAAGUCAAAUGAAUCCUGGGCUGCAUCAAAAGAAGCACGGCUAGAAGGCAGAGGGAGAUGAUCCUGCCCCUCUACUCUGCGCUGGUGAGACCUAAGCUGGAGCACUGCACCCAGAUGUGGAGUCCUCAGUACAGGAGAGACAUGGACCUGCUGGACUGUGUCCAGAGGAGGGCCACAAAAGUGAUCCAUGGAAGGGAACACCUCUCCUAUGAGGACAGGCUGACAAAGCUGGGGCUGUUCAGCCUGGAGAAGAGAAGGCUGUGAGGUGACCUGAUAGAGGCCUUUCAAUCUCUACAGUGGAGCUACAAGAAAGAAGGAGACAGACUUUUUAGCAGGGUCUAUGCUGACAGAGCAAGGUGAAAUGGUUUCAAGCUUAAAGAGGGUAGAUUUCGGAUAGAUAUAAGGAAGAAGUUUUUUACAGUGAGGGUGAUAAGGUACUGGAACAAGUUGUCAGAAAUGUGGUGGAUGUGCUGACUGGAAACUUCCAAAGAGAAGCUGGAUCAGGUUCUGGUUAAUCUAAUUUAGCUGUGGAUAUCCGUGAUCACUGUGAGAUAGUUGGAAUAGAUAACCUUUAAGUGUCCCUUCCAACUCUAAGGAUUCUAUGAUUGUAUGAUUCUGUGAUUUUAAGUUAUUUCCUAUAUGUUUCAUAAGAAAAAAAGUAGCCAGAAGAAUGAAGGAACCCUUGGUACAUUACCUCUGAAAGAUCCAAAAAAUGGAAAAUCUGUCAUUAGAGUCAGAGAAAACAAUAGGCUAAGUGCAUUUAAACAUACACCAAAAAUGAGAAACUCUUGAGUUAGAAAUAAAAAUCAUGAAAAGAUGUUUUCUAUCAGUGUGGGUGAGAAAUGGCUUUGUCUUGUAAAAGGUAGAAAAAAAAUUGAAAAAACACCUUCACAAGGAGUUUAGAGAGAGAAAAGGGUAAUUGCUGUGAAUAUUGACAUCAAUCUUUAGAAAGAAUUCUCAAAUAUUUUACCAGAGUCAAAAUAUGAAAAACAGAAAAAGUUGCAAUAAAUAAAUAGUUCCAUUAUUAUUCCAUUCUGAUUAUUAUUCCAUUACUGAUCUUGUGCUUCUUUUCUUGCAAGCAUCACUCAAUAUUUCCUAGAAGAACAGUAAUUAUAUAAUCAGACACCAUAACUAUUUGAUUCAAUAAGAUAUCUCUUUCUGCCUGAGGAAAAAUAUCUGUUUCAAUUACUGUAUAGCAUUUGAAUAACUGUUUUAAAUGCAUUUAGUGAGAUGAGUUCUGUAUUGUUUCCUCUAUCUGUUUGGUCUUUACUAUUUCUAUAGCAUUAUACUUUAUAUGUCUCAUAAAUUCAGAAAUUUUAAAGAAUUUAGAAGUAAAAGUAACAUAGGUGGCAGCAAAAUGUUUUUAAUAAUAAAAAUGUGGUGCUCCCAGGCACUACUUUUCUACUGAAAUCAUAGCUUCCUGAAUCUAAAAUUUAUGAUAAACAACUCUAGGGGGAACAAAACAAAGGAAAAAUAAAAACAAGAAACACACAAAUCUUUUCUACUUUGAUGCAACAUAAGCCUUCAUAUAAAAGUAUCAAAACCGGACACGUUUGUUCAGAUGGAUACAUCAAAAUAUAAUUUUUUUUUUUCUUGAACAGCCUUUAGCCUGCAGUUUUCAGUAGCAAAGUUAAAAAUUAAGAACUGGUGUUUUUUAAUUGUCUUCUGAAAAUGACAGAACUCUAGUUGAUAUUACUGCAAUUUUGUAUGGUAACAUGAUAUCGUAUCAAUAUACAUCAGAGACAAAUAUGUGUCUACACAUAUUUUUAUGUGAAUAUUUCACGUGCACUUUUUCCUUAAUGAAAAUAUUUGUUGAUUAAAAGUAGAAAACCUAGCAGAGCUCUUACUUAUGUGUAUAGUUUGUAGAAAACAAGGACUAGAUCCAAACAAAGCAGUUAAUGCCACCUUUAAAGAGCAAAUAAACAUUACUAAGUAUUGGAAGUUCCCUGAGAACAUAUUCAAAGGAUAUAUUAAAUAAUUAGAAGGAAGAGUGUGAAUUGCUAUGGGUAGAAAUGAAAACCAUAACUCAGGAGACUUUUCAUUAUUAUCAAAGAAAAGAAUUAAUCAGGGGGGAAAUUAGAACUCUGGAGGAUGAGAUCAGAGACAGGAUGACACAGGAUGGUAAAUUUAUUGAAGUAUUAAAUUAAUACUUUCUUAAUAUAGUUAGAAAGGCUAACGCUGCUGGAUCAAUAGCUGGCAACAGCUUCAUGCUCAGUUCUGUGUGCAUGCAGUUAGGUUUAUUUUCUCUUUCCACCUCACUACAAGUUAUAUCUGAUGUUUGUUAAUAUUUUUUAAACUUCAGAAACACAGAUGGAGAUAGAUCCUUACUACCACUGUGAUUCUUAUUAAGUUUGUGCCAUGCCUAUCUAAUUCACAUAGGUAUUCAUAUCCCUAGAGAAAAUAUUUUACACGUCAGUGCUGCUGAUGAUUUGACAAUAUUGUAAAGUACAUACAUACAGAGGAUUGCAGUGACAACUGUCUCCUUUCUUUCUCUCAUUAUUGUUUUUUUGCAUAGUGUAAACAAAUUAAUGGAAACUAUCUUUCCAUAAAAAAAUGUUGAUGUCAAAGAGUAGGCACUCCCCUGGUUCCAGCUGCCUUUGACAUGACAACUGAAAAUAUAACCCAGAGAAAAUAACUGAAAUUGUUUUUUUCAAAAAAAUGUUUCUUCUCAGUAGCAAGCCAGUUAAUACAUAUACUAAAUUGACAUUUAAAAAUAUGAAGCUCAUUUGGAAUACUUUAAUUAUACAGUCAGCUAUCUAGAUGAGGAAAUAAAUAUAUAAAUCAUAUUUCAGAGUUAAUACUAACAUUUAAUACAUAAAUGAUCACAUUUCAUGUCUCCUGUAAAUAUUUCAUUGUUUGUAUUCUACAUGGACAAUAGGGAGGGCAGACAGAAUCUUUCUAUGCUGUCAGAAGUAACAAAGAAAAUCUAUGUAUAGAAGGGUUUCAUCUUCCACAGUCUAGAAUUUUAAUCAGUUUAACAUAUGAGUAACUCAGGAACUGUUUCUCUGUUGUUCUUUCUUAGCUAAUUUUAGAAAUGUAUCCUCAUUCAUCAGCCAUAUCAACCAUUUAGUCCUUAAGCAGUCCAAACAAAUUAUAAUUAACCUUUCAAACUGAACAUGGAACUAAUAAAAUAUAAUUCUCAGGCCUGGGUGGCAAUACAGAUUUUGAAAGGAUCUGGUCCCUUGCAAGUACAUGCAGGAGGGCGUUAGUCCCGUGCUUGUAUAGACACAGUCUCUCUUUUCUCUUGGAAGACUCUUUCUUUAUUCUGAGUAGCUGUGCAUGAAUUCCAAUGCGCUAUUUUGUUCUGUCCAGCAAAGCUUAGCCUUGGCAGCAGACUCAGCUAAAGCUUCAGUCAUGGUCAUGGGACUCUUGGCACAGGAGUGUGAGGUUCAGAGUAAGCAGAAAAUGAACUUUCCAUGGAGAUACACAGCCCUUAGUGUCAGUGCCAGGCUAAAUGAAAGAGGAGAAAGGAAUUGUUGCAUAGUACGUUUUCCAGUUUUGAUAGAGGGGGUUAUUUUCUUUGAACUUUUAUCUUCAGGGAAGUGUGGGAGGUGGGGAGGAAAUUAACAUUCUCUUUGCAGAAGUAAAUUAUUUGUCAUAUAAAGAUAUUACUGUUUAUUGUAUUUUUUUUUCUGACUCUGGAGAGGUGUUUGAUUUACAUACCAGUAUUAAAGUGCUUUUAAAAUUUUCAGGCACUAUCAUUUCUUCUGCCUCUCAGCUAAAAUAUUUAUUCAGAAACUACUCUCAUAAAUAGUCAUUGUUCCAUUUCCCUAGCAAUUUUAAUGGCUCUUUUCUGAAACACUGAACACAGAAUGCUAAUAGAAACACCAGAAAUAUGAAAAAAAAUACCUAUUGUCCACUCUGUGACGACACGUCCACAUCAAUGACUCAUGUUUAACAGCUUUUUUUUUCAUUCCUAUACAUCAGUGCAUAUCUAACAAAACUAAAUGUUCUGCAAGAGCCACUGUUGCCCAAACAACUCUCAAAGCUUUCUUCAUAUGCCUAUAAGGACAGGAUAUUCUGCUCAAAUUAUUAAAGAAAGUAUGUCGGUACCAUCUGAAACUUUCACUGAAUGUACCAAAUUCAUGUAGGUCUUAUGUAUAACCUUGACAUCUGCAGUGGCUUAGAAACAUAUAAGCUUAUUAAAAUGGCAUAUAUUGUCUAAGGGCUUUCCUAUGCUGCAUUGUAGUUGCACUGACCUCUUUGCAACUACAACUGAAUAAACAUUAGCCUGAGAUAUAUCAAUAUACAUUAUAACAUACUGUUACAGACCCAAGCCAGUUAGGGUAAAUUUCAGCCCAAGGAUUGUGAUCAGUUGCUUAUAUAUGAUGCUGUACAGUUAUGGCUGUUUGGCCAGGUUCAGGAUUACAUUUACCCUACAAUCCAAGAUUUUUUGUGUUACUGACAGUGUCAGAUGGUAUCUUUUUCAAAUAAAUUACAGUGAUUUUGCCUAUGAUAUUUCCAGAUAUAUUACAAGUCUUGUCAAGAUUACAAGAAUGUUAUUAGAAUUAAACUUUUCUUAUCUUCUCUACUUUCACCUUCAUCAAAGCCUCUAUGCUUUUUUAACAUCUAGCCAUAGCUGGUCAUCAGUUUGUGGCUGCAGGCUUGUGUUACAUUUGCUGACUUGAAUGCUUGAAUCCACACAGUGGAUGGAUCUUUAGGAAAAGUUUCUGAGCUCUUGAGCCAUCUGAUACUAUCACAAUACAUACUGAGAGUCUGAAUUUGCGAUGUCUUCACUUAAGACAGAAUCACAUAUAACUUAGUGCUAAAACAAUGUUAAAAAAAAUAAAAAAGAAUCUUUUCAGAGAAGUAUCUUGGUAAAGAAACCUCUCUUUUAAUACUUUCUGAAAUUGACUCUGAAACAGAGGUGAAAAUGUAGAUUUCAUUGUCAAAGAAAAGCAGGUGUUCUGGAAAUACUUCCAUAAGAAAUUCUCUUAGAAAUAAUUAAUUCAUCUAAAAAAAGAAUGAAAGAAACAAA